UCUGAAUCUGCGUACGGCUCCGCACACCAGUUGUAAACCAAAGCAAGCAAGCCCGACCCCGAGGCCUUCACAGGUCAAAGGGCCAGGUUACAAGGAUAACCCUGGUAAUUCUGAGGCUAAUACGUGACACGAACCUGUCGACUGGGGGCUUGCCCCUGGGAAGCGGGGGAUGUGCGACUAUCGGGCCAAAAACAACCGGAAAGAGCGCACGUUCAGACCACUCCAAAAAAGGUCUGCAGGAUCCCUCACGGGGUUUUGCGGAUCUUGUGGCUCUUGCACUGUGCUUCUGACCUAUCAACUAGACGGCAGCUUAAGGGACAUGCUUUGGU
rnacentral:rRNA from 1 species